rnacentral:lncRNA from 12 species
AAGCAAAAAGUUCAAAGCGAGUAAUUACCUGUUAUUGAUGUAUUAUAUUUAAAGACCCUGGCUAAGGAUUAAAGACGCUCUCGAGGCCGUUAACAGCCUGCAGUAAACAAGUCAUGUUUCAGAGAGGAGGAGGAGAAAAGAAUUUCAGAAGGAUUUCCUCCACCAGUCUGGAACCCUCUGGAGGUAAGGCCGAGUGUGCAUAUGUGCCUUACACAGAAGGACAUAUUUAAGACCAGGAAAAGAGACAUCAAAUACCGCUGGAGCUUUGUCUUGGUCCCUGGGGUUUCCUCCUAUGAACUUUACUCUUUUUCAAGGACUUUGGCUUACUAACCAUUGUGUUCCUGGCAUCACAGAAGGAUGCACGUCCAGUAGGUAUUUACCUAGGAGUGGGACCGCUGGUCAUCUUUCCACUUACAUUUGAUGGAUGAACAAAUGAAUGAGCAUUUUCAGCAGAGACACCAGUUGGUGCAGAGGUACCAAGGCAUAGAACAGCCCAGAAACUUGGGAAACUCAUUCCUAAUUUGCUUAGAAUCCAUGGAAACAGUGGGCCACAACCUCUGUUCUUUCCAUCCUUCCAACACCUCUACUCCUGUCUCAGCAAAAGAAAAAGGAGACACCAGGUAUAACCCCUUUGAACCAGGUAAACUUGUUGGAACACUUGCUUGGACCUCCAAAGUCCACAUUCUCAAGGUAGGAGACAUCACCUCUAACGGGGCACAAAUUAAUUCUUUGGCACCAAAGACAUUUUCUAUAAUGGUUUGUGGCCUUCCGAAGUGCAAUGCUACCCAUCAAAAGCUUAUUUUGCAGUAUUUCAUUUCUCUCAAUAGGGAGAAUUUUAAUCUAAUCUAA